AUCGAUCAUCUGUUUUUAGCAUUGCAGGUUUCAAAUCCUGUUUUGCUAUGUCUGUUAAAUGCAUAUGGAAUUUUUUCGAACAUAAUUGAUAUUUUUUUAUCAAUUUCAUUCAACAACAUUGGGGAUAAGAAUUCGUUUGCUAGAAAACAUAACACGGCCUGAUGUUGUAGGUCCGCCUCUCGGCAAGGGCAUGUAAGACAAUAAGAGGCUGGAUGUGGAGUAGCAUUCACCGACCACAGGUGAAACAAUGUCCACAAUUGGCCAUUUCUUAGAGGCUCCAAGUGUGAGGGCCCUUUGAGUUCGAAUUGGGGUCUUGAUGCAAUUCAAGGAGAUCAUUAUUUACAUCCAGCAUCCAGCACAUGUAUGGAUUAACACGCAGACCCUGACCCUCUGCAACGACGAAACAUGUAGCGCACUGAACUUUCUCUGAUGCCUCCAACUCCAAGUAACAUUACAAAUAUCCAACUUCUCAAUGUUUGUUUUUUCUAUCUUUAUCUAGAGUCUCGUCUAUGUUUGCAACCAUUCUUACGGGAGGUCAGACAAGUAGGAGGUAUGAUAAGAAGACUACACGCAAGCUGAGCGAUUAUAUUGAGCUAAGACUGGAUGGACCAACUAGGGAAAGUCGGUGGUUGCAUUAGUUUUCCACCCACCACAUAUUAAGAUUUGUAUUUUUUUUCCUGUCUCGGAAGAAUGAAUUCUAUUAGAAUAAAUCCGAGGCACAUAAUCGAUCAUUCGAAGACCAAGCAAUCACACGAGCACGACACCAUGAUUUUUUAACGAGGUUCACCAAUAUGGUUACAUCCCUGGACCUGCCUACGGGCGCUCCUCUCCGUUACAAUACCACAAUAGCGCACCCCAGCCGCU
rnacentral:lncRNA from 1 species